GGAUGUGAGGGUGAUCUGGCUGUGACACCUGUCACCUCACUGAUCACCAGGGAUGAUUCAGCUGAUCUGGUUGGCUAGGGAGUGUCCCCUUCCUCCCUCAAUGUUCCACGAGCAUCCCUCCCAAACUGUUCGAUCUAUCAAAGAUGACCCAAGCAAGAAGACAAGUAGCUUACAUGCUGUGGAAGAGAAGGUCUCCAGACUGGGC
rnacentral:snRNA from 1 species